CCCUCAGUACGAGAGGAUCGGGGUGGACGCACCUCCGGUGAACCGGUUGUCGACCAACGGCACGGCCGGGUAGCCGCGUGCGGCGCGGAUAACCGCUGAAGGCAUCUAAGCGGGAAGCCGUUCCAGGGAUUAGUUCUCCUUCCGGUAAGGGCCCAGGUAGACUACCUGGUCGAUAGACGGCAGGUGCAAGGACGGCGACGUCCUCAGCCGAGC
rnacentral:rRNA from 1 species